AAUCAUCGGCUGUUGUCUCUCUCUCUCUCUCCAUUUUUUUUUUUCUUUUAUAACAUCAUUUCUCGUUAGUUCCUUUUUGCUUUUUAAUUUUGUUAAUAAAAAAAUUUGUAAAAUUUCAUGUAAUUAUUUUUUUAUGAAAAUAUAUUCAAAAAAAAAAAAAAAAAAAUUCAAUUUCCUCUUUUAUAAUUUAAGUUUCUUAAUAACUGAGCUAUAAACAAUUCCUAAAACCGCGAAAUGAAGCCAGGAAUUCAUAUUUUGCCCGAGCGCGCUACAAUUAAUUAGAAAACUGAUGAGAUCUGUUAUUUUUGUUCUCAUCUCUUCGAUCUCUUCGACCUUCUUCUUCUUCGGACUUCAGACUUCAGCAGUAAGCCAAAGGGCACAACCAAUUUCACAAUGGUUGAGUUGGCUAUAUGUAAUUGGUGUGCAGUAAAAGUGAUGUUAGUAGUGAUCCCAUGUGAAAGUGAUGCAUCACAAAUUACAAUCUGUCAUAUCAACAAGUUGUGAAAUUUUAAUGUCUAUUGCAUUGUUGAUUCUACAAA